UACGUAGGCAGCGAGCGUUGUUCGGAGUUACUGGGCGUAAAGCGUGCGUAGGCGGUAGUGCAAGUCUGUUGUGAAAUCUCCCGGCUUAACCGCGAGGGUGCGGCGGAAACUGUGCUGCUGGAGUACGGGAGAGGCAGGCGGAAUUCCUGGUGUAGCGGUGAAAUGCGUAGAUAUCAGGAGGAACACCCGUGGUGUAGACGGCCUGCUGGACCGUGACUGACGCUGAGGCACGAAAGCGUGGGGAGCAAACAGG
rnacentral:rRNA from 1 species